rnacentral:rRNA from 1 species
UACGAGUGCUUCGAGCGUUAUCCGGAAUCAUUGGGCGUAAAGGGUGUGUAGGCGGCGUUGUUAGUCUCUCGUUAAAUUCCUCGGCUCAACCGGGGGCAUGCGGGAGAAACGGCAAUGCUUGAGGAUGAGAAAGGUCUCUGGAACUCUAAGUGUAGCGGUGAAAUGCGUUGAUAUUUAGGGGAACACCAAAAGCGAAGGCAGGAGACUGGCUCAUAUCUGACGCUGAAACACGAAAGCGUGGGUAGCGAAUGGG